rfam:Eubacterium cellulosolvens 6 chromosome, whole genome shotgun sequence.
ACUAACAUCUGUAUCACGCCGAAGACAGCAGGUGUCGCAAGACGUAAGUGUAAUAUCGCCUGCCGAGGAUGUAGAUUCUUUUAAAGAAUGUAUGCCCGUUCGGUCUGUGCCGAGCGGUUUUUUUAUGUGACA